rnacentral:tRNA from 1 species
GGGGAUGUAGCUCAGUGGUAGAGCGCAGGCUGUGCAUGUAUGAGGCCUUGGGUUCGAUCCCUGGCAUCUCCA